UCUAAUAUGGCAGAAUAGUGCAUUGGACUUAAACCCCAAAUAUAAAGAACUCCUUUUUUUAGAA
rnacentral:tRNA from 1 species